GCGGGUGUGGCGGAAUUGGUAGACGCGCCAGACUCAAAAUCUGGUUUCCGCAAGGAAGUGGGGGUUCGAUUCCCUCCACCCGCACCA
rnacentral:tRNA from 1 species